rnacentral:lncRNA from 1 species
UUCUAAAAUACGCCCAUCUGGUCCACUCACUAAAGCGUCCCUGCAAUUUAGUACCACUACAACAGAAUUAGGUUAUAGGGACAUAUGUUCGGAACACUUUUGUGUAAAUGUCCUAUUUAUACCAAAAUUUUAAAAAAAAAUCUACUAAUGUCAAAAUAUAAAGCCCAAUCCAAUCAAAAAUAAAAUGUUACUCUACUCAACCCACCCCAUCCAGCCCAUUCGGCUCGAUUACAAGCAGAAAAGAAAAAAAAAGAAAAAUAGAUUACCAUCUCCCAUUCUCUGCUCCCUCAAUCCACUGAAAUCCUAGACGAAGAUCCCUUCCUCUCGUCCUCCUCCACCACCACAGCCCCUCCGCCACCGUAGCCAACGAGGUAGAGUUCCAGCGGUUGCUAAAUGCUUAAAUAAGUAUUGGUAAAUUAGCAGCACUCUUUUAGGUUAUAGCGACACUCUUUAACUGUCACUAUAUUCCUAGCGACCCCACAUAUAGCAACACUUUUUAAAAAUGUCGGUAAUUUAGCCAACAACACUUUUUUUUACCUAUACCUAUAUUUAAAAGUGUCGCUUAGACCGUUUUUGUUGUAGUGUACAUACCGGUGCUUCAAAAAGUGUUAUUAAUUAUAUGAGCCACUUAUCAUAUCAAACUAAUUUAUUAAAUGAUAAAUUUCACUAUUAUUUUUAUUUUUUAGACGCGUAGAAGUGCCAUAAUUUUAAAAAAUCCUACACUCAAAAGCCCCGGAAUAUAUUUUUCCGACACUUGACAUCAGCGUCGGUAUAUAUAUGUAAUGACUUUUCUUUUGCCAACACUUUAAAAAUGUGAUGGUAGGCUAUUUUAAAACGCUUUUAAGUAUCGAUAAAUAUUAAAAAAAAAAAAAAAACAUCCUUAACGUUAAUUUUAUCGUACUGAAUUAAGGUACACUCAUUUUUGUACAGCACUUGGUAUAAAUAGUCCAACUAUAACUUAUGCGUUGUGAGAAUUUUUCUUCUUUGAAUGUGAGCUAGAGUUUUGAUUUUGACUCUUCGAAGAUUUUAGCAUUUAUUAUUUGAUAGGAUAGUAUAUCUAACCCAUAAGAUGGUGAAUCCUAAUUAGUGCGCGUUUGAUCCUACUAUUUAUGUAGUGUAGUAUCAUUAGAUGAAGUGUCUUAUGUGCAAUAGUACUUCUUAAAGGAGUUUUAUAUUAAAACUCACUCAACAUAAUCAAAGCAUACAGUAAAAUAUUUUUUUGAAACAAGAUAACAUACUAUUCGAUUCAUAUAUUUUUUAAUAAUAAACUUAUCUAAAAAUAUAAAGUAACUAGAUUUUUUUUUUUUUUUUUGGCUAUUUGUAAGAUAUUAUUGAAGGUGAAGGGAAGCAUAAGCAAAAGAAGAACCAACGUAAGAACUGAAUUAUAAUUAGGGUAAACUUCAAAUACCACCCAUAUGAUUUCGUACUUUCUCAUUUUAGUAUUCUGUUGUUUAAAGUAUAUAUCAAGUUAGUGUCCUGUGAUUUUAUUUUAUCUUUUCGUCAGCUUUUUUCUUAAUAUUUCGUUAAAUUAUAUACAAAAAAAAACUUCAAAUAUCCCAUCUAGAUUUAUCGAAUAUUUAUUUUAGUACCCUUUAGUUUUAAUUUUUUCACUGAUUUAACGAAAAAAAUUAAUGGAAUCGGUAAUAAAAAGAUAAAAAUAAAAUCACAGAAUACUAAAUUAAUUUACUUUAAACUAUAGAGUACUAAAGUGAGAAAGUAUAAAAUCACAGGGGUGGCAUGUAAUUGAAGUUUUUUCUUAUAAUUACAAAGUACGUGGCUAAUUAGAUAGAUACCUGGCAAUUAAUGCCUCGGGGAACAUGUGUGGAGCAGUUUCCUUUCAGCAUGACAGCAGAGAAAUUGCUUGGAGCAUUCUAGUUUCGGACGCCAAAGAUUUCUGCUUCUGUUGGUAAAACGACAACUGAAAUUAUUACCCUCUGCAACGUCGUCAAUGAAUUACAUCAAUUCCCGAAUCGUCUUGUUGUACGUCAUUAUAAUGCAAUAGUCAUAUACUGUUAUAUGAGUCCGGCUACUAUACUCUUAUGAGUACGAUCGUCCUCGUACUUAUAAGCUGAUUUUGAUGAUAGAACUUUCGAAUCGACGAUCCAUACCGUUAAACAUUAUCUAGAGCAUUUAAAACUUCUAGAAAUUAAAUUUUAUAAUUUUUCGACAUUAUUUGCCUUACGAUCAAAAGGUCACAAAAUUGUCAAUUUUUAACGGCCGGUAUGAGAUACUUGUUAGUUUAACGGUGAAAAAGAAUCAAAAUAUGUUGAAUUUUUUAUAGAAAAUUCUAUUCACUAUCUAAAUAAAUAUCAAUUACUCUGAUCUUAAAUUUAAGAAUCCAAUUAUCUAUUUUUAGGAUGUCAUUCGAUUUUAACUGUUCAUUUUAUACUCACUUGAUGGACUUUAUAAUGAUUUCAAAAAUUUAUGAAAUUUAUUUUCUAGAAGUUUCAAAUACUCUAGAUCAUGUUUAACGGUGUAGAUCGUCGAUUCGAAAACUCCAAUAUUGAAAACAACUUAUGAGUAGUAAGGGUUCUAUACUCAUAAGAGUUUAGUAGCCCUACUCCUGUUACAUAUAUAUUUUGUUUGAGCGGAUCGAGUUAAUAAAAUGUGCCGUGUAGUUGGGGGUAAAUUAUUUAUCAGUUUUAUCACUUUUAACUAAGAUUAUGAGUGUUAUAAUAAAUGAAUCAAACUAACCCUUCAAUUAUACUUAAUCUAUGUCACUACAACAGAAAUAGAUUAUAGGGACACAUGUUUGUGACACUUUUGUGUAAGUGUUCCAUUUAUGUCAAAAUUUUAAAAAAAAUCUACUAAUGCCUAAAUAUAAAGCCCAAUCCAACCAAAAAUAAAAGAAUACUCUACUCAACCCAACCCACCCAACCCAUUCGGCCCGAUUAUAAACAAAAAGGAAAAAAAAAAAAGAAAAAUCGAUUACCAUAUCUCCUUCUCUCCUUACUCAAUUCACUGAAAUCCUAGCGAAGAGCCCUUCCCUCUCGUCUUCUUUUCCUACCGCAGCCAACGAGAUAGAAUUCCGGUGGUUGCUAAAUGUUUAAAUAAGCGUUGGUAAAUUAGCAGCACUUUUUUAGGUUAUAGUGACACUCUUUAACUGUCACUAUAUACCUAGCGACCCCACAUAUAGCAAUACUUUUUAAAAGUGUCGGUAAUUUAGCCAGCAGCACUUUUUUUGACCAAUACCGAUAUUUAAAAGUGUCGCUAUAGACCGUUUUUGUUGUAGCGUGUUAACAUAUCUUGUUUACUUGUAAUCAAACAGAAGAGAACAUAGGAUUUUCUUAAGAUUAGUUAUAGGUACUUGACCUAUAUAUUUUGGUAUUCGGCAAUUAAAAUUUGUUUUAGUACUAGAAAAAAGUCGACGGUAAUUUGUUGGAUUCGAUGAAAACUAAAAGGCUUUAUGGGAAUUAAUUCCACAUUAUUUUUCACCCCAAAUUGGAUGUUCUUUUUUCCAAAUAAUUGCAUCAAAACUAUGGUUUCAAGUGAUCGAUAGGACUAUUUGUCGAGAGAAUCAAUGAGGUACGGUGCACUACUUUUGUACAUUUCAUCGUAUCCUCAAUUCGUUAUUUACUAGUAAAAUUAUCGCUCGAGCAUAUAUAUCUGACCAUGUUACCAUACGAUAUUAAUUUCAUCCUUUCAUGUCAAAUUUUUUAGCAUUAUCUCUUAGUAUUAUUUCAUAGCUGAAAUCGAUCGCUAUAUUGUGACAAUCAAAUAGCAUUUAUUGAAAGUCAUGUCAGCGUAGACUUUGUUAUCCUUGGUGUUCAUCAAUCCUUUUCAUAUGAAUAUAUAAGAAUCAAGUUUUCUCCAUUCAUUUAAUUAGAUCACUCAAUCAUCAAAUAUCCUGUUUCUCCUUUUGCUUUUCUUUAAAUGAUUGAGAUUAAGUUAAUUAAUAAUGAAAAUAUUUCAGUGCUCUGCUAGUGCUAGAACUAACAGAUUGAGACUAUUUCAUGAAAGUUAUAAUUUAAAAAUUAUUACUAAUAAAACAGAUUCAUUGAAUCUAAUUAAUGCAAUACAUUAUAGGAGCCGAUAGCGAUAUUACUAAUUUUAAUAAUUUUUCAAUUUAAAAUAAGUUUUCUAUUACUGAUUUUUCUAUUUACCAAAUAAUUCAUUCAAUAGUAUUGCUAAUAUUUUUAGUUUGCUACAGUUAUAUAAAGCGCGAUUCAAACUCGUGUCUCAUAACGUCAUUCUCUUAUGAUUAUAAGAUUAGCAAUAGUAAAUUAUUAUUAUUUUUAUUAUUAUGAUGGAAAUGACAGAUGCCACAUGAGGUUAUGACAAAAGACACAACUACCCACUGUUAGCGAUGCAAACGAGGCAGAUCCGGGGGUCGGAGGGUUCUCCCACCUCCCGCUCCAUUUCUCGUCAGAAUAGGAUGGAUUCGGGACUGGUUAUUUUUUAUUUUAUUUUUUGGUUUCACUUACCGUCCUAUUCGGAGCGGGUUAGAGUGGGAGGAGAUUUUUGGUGGAUUUUUAUAUGAAUCGGGACGGAUUGAAGGAAUAAAAAAAAGGUCACCCGCUUCUUGUUCCAUUUAACUUGGCGGAUCGGAACAGAUUAUAUUUUUUUUAUAUUUUUUGUUCCCACCUACCAUCCCAUUCGGGCCGGAUCGGGUGGGAGCUUUCCCAACCCGGAUCCAUUUGCAUCCCUACCCACUGUAGCUAACGCAAGGUCCACCCCGUACACGUGUCGCCACGUGAAAUGAUGGCCCCGUGUUCUUUUAAAUCAGGUUGAUGAUGCAACAUGAGCCGUUGGAUCGUCGGGACGUCACGUGCACGUAACCGUCCAAGGCGCCAACAAACCCACGUGAACGCGUAAAGGCGCGAAGAGACCGAAUCCGACAACGCCGAACACGGGUUCGAACUCGAACCCGCGUCGCGCUCGGGUUUGGCCCCUCGUCCAAGUGCGCAUGUCGAUACGUGUAACCACAGUACGGCACUACAUAUUUACAUAUGGACACCAACGGGUCACUUUUUUUAAAAAAAAAAUUCAAAUAUCACUCGUACGAUUUCACAUUUUUUUUAUUUUAAUAUUCUAUAAUUUAAAAUAUAUCAAUUUAGUAUUCCAUAAUUUUUUUAUUAUUUUUUUUUACUAUUUUUAUUAAAUUAGUGGCAAAGUUAAAACUAAAAAAUAUUAAAGUGAAUAUUCGAUAAAUUUAGAUGGAUAUUCAAAAUUUUUUGUAUAUAAUUUAACGAAAUAAUAAGGAAGGAGCUGACGGAAAGAAAAAAAAUAAAACUAUAGGAUAAUAAAUUGACAUAUUUUAAACCACAGAAUACUAAAAUAAAAAAAUACGAAAUCACAGAGAUGGCAAUUGAAGUAUUUUUUUUUUUUACACCUCUUCGACAGGAUAUUAGCCGUUAGAUUUCUGGAUAAACUUUAAUUUGCUUAUCUGUGUAUUAGCCUACUUUCAUUUUAACACCUUGUACCGUAAAGUAAAUUUUUGGUCCAUAUCUUAGUUUCUUUUUGUAUAGAAAAAUACCUCAACUUAUAUUUUGUACUUUGCUAUUAACUCAAAUUAGUGUAAAAUUUAAAAAAAUGUUAAUUUCACCUGAAGAAUUUAAUAGGAAUAGAUUUGAUAUACUUAAAGUAGUAGAAUCAUAUAAAUUGAAUAAAAUUAUUCAAUAUUAGUAAAGUGGAGAUCUCGCGCUUUAUCUAAUUUUAUUUAUUUUUUAGCUUACGUACAAAUUAGAUAAACAUUGAGAUAUAGAAUAAUGUGAUGCGACAACUCAUUUUAAUCAAGCGUCGCAACCAAACUCACCAUUUAUUCAAAAAUUUUGAAUAUAUUUAAUGAGACAAUAACAAAGUACAGAAUGAUAAUUAACAUAAUGAUUUUAAUAUAAGAAAGUAAUUGUGACAUAAUUAAGUUAAAUUGUAAAGGGGCUUUUGUUAUUUAGCCAUAGCCAAACUUUUUUCAGUUACUCAACCACCAGAUUAAUCUAUUCCUGUUUAAAAUUACAAGUACAAUUAUAUAAUACCUAUGCUUAAUUUUAUGUAGAAGAAUUAAGGAGUGCUCUUUUCUUUUUUUUAGUUUCUAUAAUCUUUUUUUAACUAUUUUUUUUUAAAAAAAAAACCGUUAAAACAUUUGUUGCGAUAGUAUAAGUCAUAUNUUGACUCAAUUUUUCGCGAAUAUACAAGUUUAAUUUCUUGUUUUAUAUAUAUAUAUAUCACUGUAUGGAGUGUACGCUUAGCAUUUAUCUUAAUUUUUUUCAGUACAGAUGAAUUAAUAUAUCCCUUCCUAUAACAUAUUCUCUUUACAGCUUGAUAAAAAGACAAGCAUUACUAUAUAUAUAUAUAAAACAAGAAAUUAAACUUGUAUAUUCGCGAAAAAUUGAGUCAACAUAGCCGAGUUUCGACUCUUUCGAGCCCACUCACUGAGAUUUCGAAGUUGAAUAGGGAGUUCAAGUGUAUAAUGUUAGAUAGAAAUAAAUGCUACAAAUUCUAAAUGAUACGUGUAUAUAGACUUAAACAAAAUUUUAUUGAUUUAAAUAGCGUACAAGGUGCGAACCUCAUUAAUUAUUCAUUCUUAUUCGCUCUCAUAACAGCCCAUUAAGAAAUUGUUUGAUUACAUGCAGCUACGUACAACUGCUCUUCAAUUCUAAUUGCGCUCGUACAUCAAAAUUUGAUAAUUUGUUUGAUACAUAUAAAUUUAGCUGCUCGAGUUAGAACUGCACGAAGAGACUCAGUUCAAACAGUCAGUGGCGGAUCUAGCUUGCGAUGAUUGAGUUGGGUCAAUUGACCCCACUUAUUCCUCCCCCCCAAAAGUCCCCAUAUUUCUAAAAGUGGGAUAAAUUUUCUAAUUAACUUUAUUUUAUUAACUAAUUAAUCCUAUUUUAUUUUAAUAAAUAAGUAAAGACCAUCUUUAAUUUUCUCUUAUCAUGUGGCAUCAUUUUAAAUCUUAUAAAUUUAAAUCCCAAUUUAAAAAAUCACCUAUUAGAAUAUAAAAAAAUAUUUUACACUUCUUUCAAAAUAAUAGUGGUUCUGGUGAAAAAAAUAAUCCUAUGAUCUAAUUAUGAUACCAUCAUAUCUCAUUUUCAAAAUAUAAAAGUAAGUUGAAAACAAUUAUAAUUCAAAAUGAUACAUGUUUUUUUCUUACACAACAUUUAUUGGCAAUUAUAUUUAAUAAAUUUUUUUAUUUUUUUAUAUUUAUUUUUUAUUUUAUAUUUGACUCUUUUUAAAAAAAUUUAGAUCCGUCACUGUUAGUGAAUGGUAGCAUGCCCAAUUUACCAGCAGUUCAACUACAACGGUUGGAAAGAGUAACAUGAAAAAAAAAAAAAGUUAUCUUUCUAGAAACCCUUUAAAUAGAAAAUAUAUAUUUUUCCUACAUUAAAGAUAAUCUCAUCAUUCUAUACAUAAAAUGAUAAAAUUUUAUAAAUACAUCUCUCAAUUACAUAACACAAAUAAAUUACGAAAAAUACUACCAGUACACCCAAAAGGGUUGUAAAAUCUUAUAUCCUCGCAUCCUGUGGUUCACCCUUCCCUUUUGAUUUUUAGUAUUUAAAAAAAUUUGACCUUUUUGCAAAAUAAAUUAUAAUAGUUUUACUUUUUUCUAAAAAAGUGGGCUAUUGUUUUGCUUUUGCAUAUUUGGACCCAAAAAGUUGAAAAUUGGCCGAAAUACUUAUAUACCUUAAAAGCUCCGUCUCUCCUUCCUCUGCUCCCUCAUCGGCCAUUUCUCCACCACGGGAAAGAACCUCGAGUGCUGAUCACACCUCCACACUAACUCCUUCGUCGCGUCCGUAUUGUGAACAUCUCACGAGUGAGAGGAACACAAUGAUCUUGAGUAAUUCGUCAUUGUGGCUGGUUCACUACAACAGAAUUAGAUUAUAGGGACAUAUGUUUGGGACACUUUUGUAUAAGUGUUUCAUUUAUGCCGAAACUUAAAAAAAAAAAUCUUCUAAUGCCUAAAUAUAAAGCCCAAUCUAACCAAAAAUAAAAGAUUAUCUACUCAACUCACCCCACCCAGCCCAUUCGGUCCGAUUACAAAUAGAAAAGAAAAAAAAUAUAUCGAUUACUAUCUCCUCUUCUCCUCUUACUCAAUCCACUGAAAUACUAGACGAAGAGCCCUUCCCUCUCCUCCUCCUCCGCCACCGCAGCCAAUGAGGUAGAGUUCCGGCAAUUGCUAAAUGCUUAAAUAAGUGUUGGUAAAUUAGCAGCACUUUUCUUAGGUUAUAGCGACAUUCUUUAACUGUCACUAUAUACCUAGCGACCCCACAUAUAGCAACACUUUUUAAAAGUGUCGGUAAUUUAGCCAGCAACACUUUUUUUGACCUAUACUGACAUUUAAAAGUGUCGCUAUAGACUGUUUUUGUUGCAGUGCUUGGCGCUUCGCCAGAGAUGAAGAUGAAGGUGAUAGAGUAGGAGAGCGAUGAUCUCUAAU